CAGUAACGGCGAGUGAAGCGGCAACAGCUCAAAUUUGAAAUCUGGCCCUCGGGUCCGAGUUGUAAUUUGCAGAGGAUGCUUCGGGCGCGGUGCCUUCCAAGUCCCCUGGAACGGGGCGCCGGAGAGGGUGAGAGCCCCGUACGGUUGGCGGCCAAGCCUAUGUGAAGCUCCUUCGACGAGUCGAGUAGUUUGGGAAUGCUGCUCUAAGCGGGAGGUAGACCCCUUCUAAAGCUAAAUAUUGGCCAGAGACCGAUAGCGCACAAGUAGAGUGAUCGAAAGAUGAAAAGCACUUUGAAAAGAGGGUUAAAUAGCACGUGAAAUUGUUGAAAGGGAAGCGCUUGCGACCAGACGUGCGCCGGGGUGCUCAGCGGGCGUUCUCGCCCGUGCACUCGCCCCGGUGCAGGCCAGCGUCGGUUUGAGCGGGGGGAUAAAGGCGCCUGGAACGUGGCUCCCUCGGGAGUGUUAUAGCCAGGCGUGCCAUGCCCCCGCCCAGACCGAGGUACGCGUUCUGCAAGGACGCUGGCGUAAUGGUCCCCAGCGACCCGUCUUGAAACACGGACCAAGGAGUCGAGGUUUUGCGCGAGUGUUUGGGUGUCAAACCCGCACGCGUAAUGAAAGUGAACGUAGGUGGGAGCUUCGGCGCACCACCGACCGA
rnacentral:rRNA from 1 species